GACGAACGCUGGCGGCGUGCUUAACACAUGCAAGUCGAACGAAGAGCGAUGGAAGCUUGCUUCUAUCAAUCUUAGUGGCGAACGGGUGAGUAACGCGUAAUCAACCUGCCCUUCAGAGGGGGACAACAGUUGGAAACGACUGCUAAUACCGCAUACGAUCUAACCUCGGCAUCGAGGAUAGAUGAAAGGUGGCCUCUACAUGUAAGCUAUCACUGAAGGAGGGGAUUGCGUCUGAUUAGCUAGUUGGAGGGGUAACGGCCCACCAAGGCGAUGAUCAGUAGCCGGUCUGAGAGGAUGAACGGCCACAUUGGGACUGAGACACGGCCCAGACUCCUACGGGAGGCAGCAGUGGGGAAUCUUCCGCAAUGGACGAAAGUCUGACGGAGCAACGCCGCGUGAGUGAUGACGGCCGUCGGGUUGUAAAGCUCUGUUAAUCGGGACGAAAGGCCUUCUUGCGAAUAGUGAGAAGGAUUGACGGUACCGGAAUAGAAAGCCACGGCUAACUACGUG
rnacentral:rRNA from 1 species